AAUAGAUACCCGGGUAGUCCACGCCGUAAACGAUGGAUGCUAGCUAUUGGGGGGAAUCGACCCCCUCCGAAGCGAAGCUAACGCGUUAAGCAUCCCGCCUGAGUAGUACGAGCGCAAGCUUAAAACUCAAAGGAAUUGACGGGGACCCGCACAAGCGGUGGAGCGUGUGGUUUAAUUCGAUGGUAAACGAAGAACCUUACCAAGGUUUGACAUCCCGGUAGCCGUUCUCCGAAAGGAGAAUUUCAUUUAGUUGGACCGGUGACAGGUGAUGCAUGGCCGUCGUCAGCUCGUGUCGUGAGAUGUUGGGUUAAGUCCCGCAACGAGCGCAACCCUUAUGAUUUAGUUGGAUUUUUCUAAACAGACUGCCCUGGUAACAGGGAGGAAGGAGGGGAUGAUGUCAGGUCAGUAUUUCCCUUACACCUUGGGGCGACACACGCGCUACAGUGGCCGGUACAAUGGGCAGCUAAGCCGCGAGGUGGAGCAAAUCCCAUCAAAGCCGGUCCCAGUUCGGAUUGCAGGCUGAAACCCGCCGCAUGAAGCCGGAAUCGCUAGUAACC
rnacentral:rRNA from 1 species